AGAGUUAAACAGUACGUGAAAUUGUUGAAAGGGAAACGAUUGAAGCCAGUCGUACCUUCGGGUAAUCAGCCUUUCGGGUGCGAUUCUGUGGAGUGUGAGGAGCUUAACACCUUCAUGCUUUGCAUAUUUGUGCUCUUGGGUGUACUUGCCCGUGUGGUUGGUUAACAUCAAUUUUGGUUAUCAUAAAAUGAUUGGAGGAAUGUAGCUUCGAUCUCGUAUUGAAGUGUUAUAGCCUUUGGUAGAUGUGAUGUUUGAGACCGAGGAUUGCAACGGAUACCCUUCAGGGCUAUUCGUCUGAUCUCUGAUACGUUGCCUUGAUGUUGAAAGCUUGCUUACGGUUAUCAAAGUCGAUGGUCAAUAGGUUAGAACGGGUUAAAUUCGUUAAGGAUGUUGACGUAAUGGCUUUAAACGACC
rnacentral:rRNA from 1 species